rnacentral:rRNA from 1 species
UGGGGAAUAUUGCACAAUGGGCGAAAGCCUGAUGCAGCGACGCCGCGUGAGGGAUGACGGCCUUCGGGUUGUAAACCUCUUUCAGUAGGGACGCAGCGCAAGUGACGGUACCUGCAGAAGAAGCACCGGCUAACUACGUGCCAGCAGCCGCGGUAAUACGUAGGGUGCGAGCGUUGUCCGGAAUUACUGGGCGUAAAGAGCUCGUAGGCGGUUUGUCACGUCGUCUGUGAAAUCCUAGGGCUUAACCCUGGACGUGCAGGCGAUACGGGCUGACUUGAGUACUACAGGGGAGACUGGAAUUUCUGGUGUAGCGGUGGAAUGAACAGAUAUCAGGAAGAACACCGAUGGCGAAGGCAGGUCUCUGGGUAGUAACUGACGCUGAGGAGCGAAAGCAUGGGUAGCGAACAGG